rnacentral:rRNA from 1 species
CCUACGGGAGGCAGCAGUGAGGAAUAUUGGUCAAUGGACGAGAGUCUGAACCAGCCAAGUAGCGUGAAGGAAGAAGGCUUUCGGGUUGUAAACUUCUUUUCUCAGGGACGAAGCAAGUGACGGUACCUGAGGACUAAGCCACGGCUAACUACGUGCCAGCAGCCGCGGUAAUACGUAGGUGGCAAGCGUUAUCCGGAUUUACUGGGUGUAAAGGGCGUGUAGGCGGGACUGCAAGUCAGAUGUGAAAACCAUGGGCUCAACCUAUGGCCUGCAUUUGAAACUGUAGUUCUUGAGUACUGGAGAGGAAGACGGAAUUCCGAGUGUAGCGGUGAAAUGCGUAGAUAUUAGGAGGAACACCAGUGGCGAAGGCGGUCUGCUGGACAGCAACUGACGCUGAGGCGCGAAAGCGUGGGUAUCAAACAGGAUUAGAUACCCCUGUAGUC